rnacentral:misc_RNA from 1 species
GUGCAUUUUGAUGGAACUAUUUGACAUCAUGUUAUUACAAUACUUGAUGUAUAGGUAAAUUCAUCCUUGAGAUUUGUUUAAAUAAGAUAAGCUAGUGAGACUAAGGUAUCUAUGCUUUGAUUUUAAGUUCAUCAUAGCCCUUAAGUUUGAGGUGUGGAAGCAUAUCGCUAAACAACUUGAUACCUAUAUGAAAUAUGUUAAGUUUUCGGAUCUAAAACUAAGUGUGAAGGAAUUGUGAUAGGUAAUUGAAAUAGCUAACGACCACAAAAAUAAAAAAAAAAUCACAAUUGCUUAAAACACACCAAUGGUGUCCUUGACCUUUGAUAAUUAAACCAAAUGAAGCCUCAAAUCAAAUACUCAAAAGAAACUAGGAUUUUCCAUUAGUGUCUCUAUCCAUAAAAUGUUGGCAUUGUAUUAACGGUUAUGUACAAGGAAGAAAAAGUGUUAACCAUAUUUUGCGGAGUAGGAUAUAUUGACAGCUGGAAAGUAUUGGUUCAACUAUUAAAGUUCAUCGGUACAAUUGGAAACAUCUAUCAAUUGACUACAAUUUAAAAGAACAACAUAGAGGAAAAAAUUGGUCAUUAUGCCCAUUAAAAAGUCCAAUGUAUUAGAAUUGAACUCAAGAAAUCUUACCUUUCGU